UAGGGAAUCUUCCACAAUGGACGCAAGUCUGAUGGAGCAACGCCGCGUGAGUGAAGAAGGUUUUCGGACCGUAAAGCUCUGUUGUUGGUGAAGAAGGAUAGAGGUAGUAACUGGCCUUUAUUUGACGGUAAUCAACCAGAAAGUCACGGCUAACUACGUGCCAGCAGCCGCGGUAAAUACGUAGGUGGCAAGCGUUGUCCGGAUUUAUUGGGCGUAAAGCGAGCGCAGGCGGAAGAAUAAGUCUGAUGUGAAAGCCCUCGGCUUAACCGAGGAAUUGCAUCGGAAACUGUUUUCUUGAGUGCAGAAAGAGGAGAGUAGAACUCCAUGUGUAGCGGUGGAAUGCGUAGAUAUAUGGAAGAAUACCAGUGGCGAAGGCGGCUCUCUGGUCUGCAACUGACGCUGAGGCUCGAAAAGCAUGGGUAGCGAACAGGAUUAGAUACCCUGGUAGUCCAUGCCGUAAAACGAUGAGUGCUAAGUGUUGGGAGGCUUCCGCCUCUCAGUGCUGCAGCUAACGCAUUAAGCACUCCGCCUGGGGAGUACGACCGCAAGGUUGAAAC
rnacentral:rRNA from 1 species